AAACUUACUUGGCUGGGAGUUAACUCGCGAUCACGAAGGCGAGUGCUCCACGGUGAGGUCAACCCAUUGCACUUUUAGGGUGGUGACUGACCCGUGUGGCAGUCUCGAGUUGGGACUAGCCAACAGCGUAAUUUUUGCGUUUGGGGACAGUCAGUGAACUGUUCCCCG
rnacentral:snRNA from 1 species